rnacentral:misc_RNA from 1 species
GAUGAAGAAGGUAGCGAAAUGCGAUAAGUCAUGCGAAUUGCAGAAUUCAGUGAAUCAUCGAAUCUUUGAACGCACAUUGCGCCCGCCAGUAUUCUGGCGGGCAUGCCUGUCUGAACGUCGUUUCGACCCUCGCGCCCGGCUUCUGUCGGGGGCGGUGUUGGGGAUCGGCCACACCCUUCAGUGGGAGGCCGGCCCCUAAAUUCAGUGGCGACCACGCUGUAGCCUCCCCUGCGUAGUACUAAAACCACCUCGCAGGCGGAGAGCGGUGCGGCCCGCCGUAAAACCCCCCAACUUUUACAAGGUCGACCUCAGAUCAGGUAGGAAUACCCGCUGAACUUAAGCAUAUCAAUAAGCGGAGGA